ACCAUUAUUAAGAAGGUUGGGACUGUGGCACACCACGAAGUAGAAAUGUUCAAGAAUGCACAGCCAUAUAGCUCCAUGAAAAAUGCAAGGCCACUACGAGUAACUAAUAGUCGUCCGAUCAAGUUAUACAGCCCAAACUGAUGAUCACGGGCCAAAAUGUUAAGCUCAAUUAUGAUCAUGAAAUAAUAAUCUAUUAAAUGAAGCCCUAUCUUGUAUGACAAAUGUUGGUUAAAUAAAAGUGAUUUCUCUUAUGUUUUCAUUUAA